rnacentral:sRNA from 1 species
UUUGAUUCUAGUGCUGACUGUUCCUUA